GAACCAAAAUCAAGAGUCAGCCACCUAACUGACUGAGCCAACCCAGGUACCCCUAAAGAGGAAAUUGGAAGCGACGGUACUGAGACAAUAGUUGCUUAUCCAACUGCAUGCAUGUGGAUCACACACAGUGACGAUGGAUCUGUGGACUGGGACUUGUAUAAGUGAUGCAAGGAAUUGCUGUUGUUGGCCAGUGAAGUCUCCUCCAUUGAUGAAUGAAGCCCCAGCAAGUCUGAUGCAUUGUUUACUGCAAGCAGCCAUCUUGGCAGCUCAGUGCCAUGAACCACGCCCUUGGAAGUGUCUUACCAUGAGUCAAAGAGGAAGCUCUAUACUGUUUAAAAAAAUUAACAAGACUGUUUUCCAAGAUGAUCCAUCAAAUCAUCUGGCUCUGCCAAGACAACAGACUUACUAAUCUAGUUUUAAGCGCUAAUCAAAACAACCAAGGUAGCAUGACAUCCCUGGCAAUAGUUUCUGACUUCUGACUAAUUCCACAUCUACAAUGGGUUAUAAAUCAAUCUCUGUAUUACAUUGAGUAAAGCCCAGCUACUUGGGAAAGUUAAAAUUAACACAGCUUUACAAAAGAAGGUUAGCUCUUUAAAAAAAAAAAAAAAACAAACCUUAAAAUUUAAAAUUUUAGAUUUAUA